UACGGAGGGUGCAAGCGUUAUCCGGAUUCACUGGGUUUAAAGGGUGCGUAGGCGGGCAGGUAAGUCCGUGGUGAAAUCUCUGAGCUUAACUCAGAAACUGCCAUGGAUACUAUUUGUCUUGAAUAUCCUGGAGGUAGGCGGAAUAUGUCAUGUAGCGGUGAAAUGCUUAGAUAUGACAUAGAACACCGAUAGCGAAGGCAGCUUACUACAGGAUGAUUGACGCUGAGGCACGAAAGCGUGGGGAGCAAACAGG
rnacentral:rRNA from 1 species